rnacentral:rRNA from 1 species
CCUACGGGUGGCAGCAGUGGGGAAUAUUGGGCAAUGGAGGAAACUCUGACCCAGCAACGCCGCGUGAAUGAUGAAGGUCUUCGGAUUGUAAAGUUCUUUUCUAAGGGAAGAAGAAAGUGACGGUACCUUAGGAAUAAGCCUCGGCUAACUACGUGCCAGCAGCCGCGGUAAUACGUAGGAGGCAAGCGUUAUCCGGAAGGACUGGGCGUAAGGGGUGCGUAGGUGGUUUGACAAGUUGGUAGCGUAACUCCGAGGCUUAACCUCGGCACUACUACCAAAACUGUUGGACUCGAGUGCAGGAGGGGCAAAUGGAAUUCCUAGUGUAGCGGUGAAAUGCGUAGAUAUUAGGAAGAACACCAGUGGCGAAGGCGGAUUACUGGACGACAACUGACGGUGAGGCGCGAAAGCGUGGGGAGCAAACAGGAUUAGAUACCCGAGUAGUC